GCCAUGAGUUCAUUUCAUCCUCUUGCAUAUACAGUGGAGCUGAAGCUGCUACCGUUUCUUCUACGGCGGAUUGCUCGGAAAAAAGGUAAAAGUGGCUUCGAUGACAGAUAAGAUGAGGGAAGCGAGAUUUGGAUGAAUUGGACCUGUGAAGAAGAGGUGUGUAGAUGCCCUAGUGAAAAGGCGCGAGACGUUGUGUAGGGCGCAAAGGAGUGGAGAUCUCGUAUUAGGGUAGAAGGUUAGUAAGAAUAGAGUGUUGUCUUAUAUGCAAGGGUUUAGGCUUGUUAGUACCUAUCGUAGUACUAGUCGUAUACUUGUAGUUAUUGCUUUUUGUGUCUAUCGUCUUAUGUUGUUUAUUCGGUUUCGAUUACUAUACUAUUUUUAUUGUUGUUAUUGCUUCUUUUGUCGACUGUACAUUGUUUUUCUUAUUUUCACUGUUAUGUUUUCUUCUUCUAUUACCUGUUUAUUACACACUUGAGUUGAGAGUC